GGGUCUCUAGCUGUGGUGCUACAUUAAAGAUAGAAAUUACAGCAGAUCCUUUGUCAGAAACUACUCAAACCAAGAAGUCAAAGGAGUGGCAUUCUUAAAGUGCUGAAAGCAAACAAAACAAAACAACCUGUGAACUCAGGAUUCUAUGAGCAGCGAAAAUAUUUUUCAAAAUGAAGGAGAAAUAAAGCCUUCUCUAGACAAACAAAAAUCAAGAAUUAUUAACUGUAAAACCCUCUACAAAUUUUUAAACAAAAGUUUUUAGACAGAAGCAAUGAUACCACACAGAAAAAUUAAGUAUAUGCAGUUUCCAAGAAUCUAUUGAUGAUGUGAAGUGAGGACUUACAGUAUACACAAAGAAAUGAAGAUCUCUGGAAAUGGCUAAAAUAAAGAGAAAAAAGAAAGAAAAACAUGAGGGGACACAUAUUCCAGCAGAGGUUCACCAUCUCAAAUAUAAAAAAGCAAAUGCUGGAGAAAGUGAGGAGAAAUAAAGAGAGAAGAUGUUUAUAUUUCUGAGAAUUAAAACAUCAAAAGCAGCCAUUAAUGUGAUGUUUCCUUAAAUUCACAAAAGAAGAAUCAAAUAAUGUUUAUAUGAGGGGGUACUGAAAAAUGUGUACAAAGUAUUCUUGGAGCACAAAUGAGAGACUUCAACUCUUUCUCAAACAUCAGUGAUGAUUUUACAGAGAAGACAUUUGUGUUGCAUCUAAAAGAAGGAAUUUACAAAGUAGAGAAGAGGUGAAAGCAAGAAGGGUGAUGUGGAAGAGCCAACUGAGGAAGGGCAGAGGUCUCAAAGUGGAAGGAGUACAGGAAAUGAUGAAGGUCAGAAAUAAUAGAUCGUGUCCUCAGCCUGCAUCUCUCUGGCCACCUCUGCUUCCAGCUUCUACCUUUAAGGACCCUUGUGAUGACAUUGGGACCAGCUUCAUUUCUCCAAGUGUCCUCCUCUCAUACCUCUCCUUGCACAUCAAGCUGCUCACCCUUUGUGCUUUUGCACAUGCUGUUUGAUUAUGAAACUCCAUGACCCUCCUCUUCAUGAUUCACUUGACUGACCAUUCAACGCUCAGUUCAGGUGGCUCUUCCUUCAGAAAGCCUUUUUCCGUCUACUGUCCUACUGCCCCUCCCAAGAAACAGAAAAAAAUGAACUUUUCUUUGAUAUGUCAAGAGAAAGUGGAUCUACCUACCCUCUGCCUAAUCAUUUUCAUGAAGUUUUUGGAAUUUAAUGGUGGAGGUUGCAAUAGAAAGGAUGAAAUGUAUUUCAUUAUCAAAAAACUCUGGGAAAAUAAUUUUUCAGCAAUUAAGAGCAGAUGCUGCAAACGGACUGCAUUUGUUGGGGUUGCUCAGCAGGAAAGUGGGGGGCAGUGAGUGACUCACCAAAACUGAGGGAUACAGAAAGGACAAUAGAAUAACAACAGAGAAAAACAUGAAGACAGAAAGCAGUGUAUAUGCACGUGACUUAGCAUCAGCUCAUCGGAUGCCCCAAAUCGGAUCUUUGUCUCUGAAGUGAAUGUUACAAAGAAUGAAAAACAGCAAGAAUUCUUUCAAGGCUGCAGAGGAGUCUAUGUCCUAAAGCCUCAGAAGACCUGGUCUGUUUCUGCUAAAAAAAUACACGUUGUGCUUCUGGCUUUUUGGCUGUAAGAAUCUGUCUCGGUGCCAGGUCUGGUUCUCAGCUGCCCAUUGACUCUGUGACCCUAACACCAAAAGAUUUAUGAGGCUUUAAAUUCAGUUGUAAAGUCAAGACUGAUGGAAGAAAUAUUAAUGAACAUACCUGGAAGACUCAUAGAUUUUGUGAAAGACCUUCAUAGAUAUCCUCUACAACCUGCAUAUAUUAUAUAAUAAAAUAUUGAUAGAACUGUGUGGACUUGUUUUUGCCCACUCUUUCAUUGAUGGUACAGCACUUUAAAGGCCCUCGCUUUAGGUGAUGGCUCCUUUCAUAAAUUCCUAACUUUCGGGACCUGAAGGACUCAUCUCCUAUGCCUGUGUGUGUCACUAGGCUUUUGAGACAGGUAGGGCAACACCUAUCACUUGCUGCCCC
rnacentral:lncRNA from 1 species